GUUGUUGGGUAGGGGAGCGUUCUGUAAGCCUGUGAAGGUGGCCUGUGAGGGUUGCUGGAGGUAUCAGAAGUGCGAAUGCUGACAUAAGUAACGAUAAAGCGGGUGAAAAGCCCGCUCGCCGGAAGACCAAGGGUUCCUGUCCAACGUUAAUCGGGGCAGGGUGAGUCGACCCCUAAGGCGAGGCCGAAAGGCGUAGUCGAUGGGAAACAGGUUAAUAUUCCUGUACUUGGUGUUACUGCGAAGGGGGGACGGAGAAGGCUAUGUUGGCCGGGCGACGGUUGUCCCGGUUUAAGCGUGUAGGUGUGUGUUCCAGGUAAAUCCGGUUCACUUUAACACUGAGGCGUGAUGACGAGGCACUACGGUGCUGAAGCAACAAAUGCCCUGCUUCCAGGAAAAGCCUCUAAGCAUCAGGUAACAUCAAAUCGUACCCCAAACCGACACAGGUGGUCAGGUAGAGAAUACCAAGGCGCUUGAGAGAACUCGGGUGAAGGAACUAGGCAAAAUGGUGCCGUAACUUCGGGAGAAGGCACGCUGACACGUAGGUGAAGUGAUUUACUCACGGAGCUGAAGUCAGUCGAAGAUACCAGCUGGCUGCAACUGUUUAUUAAAAACACAGCACUGUGCAAACACGAAAGUGGACGUAUACGGUGUGACGCCUGCCCGGUGCCGGAAGGUUAAUUGAUGGGGUCAGCGCAAGCGAAGCUCCUGAUCGAAGCCCCGGUAAACGGCGGCCGUAACUAUAACGGUCCUAAGGUAGCGAAAUUCCUUGUCGGGUAAGUUCCGACCUGCACGAAUGGCGUAAUGAUGGCCAGGCUGUCUCCACCCGAGACUCAGUGAAAUUGAACUCGCUGUGAAGAUGCAGUGUACCCGCGGCAAGACGGAAAGACCCCGUGAACCUUUACUAUAGCUUGACACUGAACAUUGAGCCUUGAUGUGUAGGAUAGGUGGGAGGCUUUGAAGCGUGGACGCCAGUCUGCGUGGAGCCGACCUUGAAAUACCACCCUUUAAUGUUUGAUGUUCUAACGUGGACCCGUAAUCCGGGUUGCGGACAGUGUCUGGUGGGUAGUUUGACUGGGGCGGUCUCCUCCUAAAGAGUAACGGAGGAGCACGAAGGUUGGCUAAUCCUGGUCGGACAUCAGGAGGUUAGUGCAAUGGCAUAAGCCAGCUUGACUGCGAGCGUGACGGCGCGAGCAGGUGCGAAAGCAGGUCAUAGUGAUCCGGUGGUUCUGAAUGGAAGGGCCAUCGCUCAACGGAUAAAAGGUACUCCGGGGAUAACAGGCUGAUACCGCCCAAGAGUUCAUAUCGACGGCGGUGUUUGGCACCUCGAUGUCGGCUCAUCACAUCCUGGGGCUGAAGUAGGUCCCAAGGGUAUGGCUGUUCGCCAUUUAAAGUGGUACGCGAGCUGGGUUUAGAACGUCGUGAGACAGUUCGGUCCCUAUCUGCCGUGGGCGCUGGAGAACUGAGGGGGGCUGCUCCUAGUACGAGAGGACCGGAGUGGACGCAUCACUGGUGUUCGGGUUGUCAUGCCAAUGGCACUGCCCGGUAGCUAAAUGCGGAAGAGAUAAGUGCUGAAAGCAUCUAAGCACGAAACUUGCCCCGAGAUGAGUUCUCCCUGAGACUUAGAGUCUCCUGAAGGAACGUUGAAGACGACGACGUUGAUAGGCCGGGUGUGUAAGCGCAGCGAUGCGUUGAGCUAACCGGUACUAAUGAACCGUGAGGCUUAACCUUAC
rnacentral:rRNA from 1 species